CAGCCGUAAACUAUGCGCGUUAGGUGUACUGGUGACCACGAGUCACCGGGGUGCCGAAGGGAAACCGUGAAACGUGCCGCCUGGGAAGUACGGUCGCAAGGCUGAAACUUAAAGGAAUUGGCGGGGGGAGCACCAUAACGGGUGGAGCCUGCGGUUUAAUUGGACUCAACGCCGGAAAUCUCACCGGAUAGGACAGACAUAUGAUAGUCGGGCUGAAGACUCUACUUGAUGAUCUGAGAGGUGGUGCAUGGCGUCAGUGACU
rnacentral:rRNA from 1 species